rnacentral:rRNA from 1 species
GACGAACGCUGGCGGCGUGCCUAAUACAUGCAAGUCGAACGAACUCUGGUAUUGAUUGGUGCUUGCAUCAUGAUUUACAUUUGAGUGAGUGGCGAACUGGUGAGUAACACGUGGGAAACCUGCCCAGAAGCGGGGGAUAACACCUGGAAACAGAUGCUAAUACCGCAUAACAACUUGGACCGCAUGGUCCGAGNUUGAAAGAUGGCUUCGGCUAUCACUUUUGGAUGGUCCCGCGGCGUAUUAGCUAGAUGGUGGGGUAACGGCUCACCAUGGCAAUGAUACGUAGCCGACCUGAGAGGGUAAUCGGCCACAUUGGGACUGAGACACGGCCCAAACUCCUACGGGAGGCAGCAGUAGGGAAUCUUCCACAAUGGACGAAAGUCUGAUGGAGCAACGCCGCGUGAGUGAAGAAGGGUUUCGGCUCGUAAAACUCUGUUGUUAAAGAAGAACAUAUCUGAGAGUAACUGUUCAGGUAUUGACGGUAUUUAACCAGAAAGCCACGGCUAACUACGUGCCAGCAGCCGCGGUAAUACGUAGGUGGCAAGCGUUGUCCGGAUUUAUUGGGCGUAAAGCGAGCGCAGGCGGUUUUUUAAGUCUGAUGUGAAAGCCUUCGGCUCAACCGAAGAAGUGCAUCGGAAACUGGGAAACUUGAGUGCAGAAGAGGACAGUGGAACUCCAUGUGUAGCGGUGAAAUGCGUAGAUAUAUGGAAGAACACCAGUGGCGAAGGCGGCUGUCUGGUCUGUAACUGACGCUGAGGCUCGAAAGUAUGGGUAGCAAACAGGAUUAGAUACCCUGGUAGUCCAUACCGUAAACGAUGAAUGCUAAGUGUUGGAGGGUUUCCGCCCUUCAGUGCUGCAGCUAACGCAUUAAGCAUUCCGCCUGGGGAGUACGGCCGCAAGGCUGAAACUCAAAGGAAUUGACGGGGGCCCGCACAAGCGGUGGAGCAUGUGGUUUAAUUCGAAGCUACGCGAAGAACCUUACCAGGUCUUGACAUACUAUGCAAAUCUAAGAGAUUAGACGUUCCCUUCGGGGACAUGGAUACAGGUGGUGCAUGGUUGUCGUCAGCUCGUGUCGUGAGAUGUUGGGUUAAGUCCCGCAACGAGCGCAACCCUUAUUAUCAGUUGCCAGCAUUAAGUUGGGCACUCUGGUGAGACUGCCGGUGACAAACCGGAGGAAGGUGGGGAUGACGUCAAAUCAUCAUGCCCCUUAUGACCUGGGCUACACACGUGCUACAAUGGAUGGUACAACGAGUUGCGAACUCGCGAGAGUAAGCUAAUCUCUUAAAGCCAUUCUCAGUUCGGAUUGUAGGCUGCAACUCGCCUACAUGAAGUCGGAAUCGCUAGUAAUCGCGGAUCAGCAUGCCGCGGUGAAUACGUUCCCGGGCCUUGUACACACCGCCCGUCACACCAUGAGAGUUUGUAACACCCAAAGUCGGUGGGGUAACCUUUUAGGAACCAGCCGCCUAAGGUGGGACAGANGAUUAGGGUGAAG